UCUGGCCUAAAGUUCUAGUCCACAGAAUGGCUUCCUCCGAGCGGUGCUGGCAACAUUCACACUGUAGAACACCGUGCAAGGAUCUCUUAAAGGAGAUAAAAUGUUGCAAAUUUUUAACAUUCCAAGAGACUGAAUCGACUUUUUUUUUUUAUCUGCAUCUUUUUUAAA